rnacentral:rRNA from 1 species
AGAGUUUGAUCAUGGCUCAGGACGUAUCGCUGGUGGCGUGCUUAAUAUCAUGCAAGUCGAGCGAGCUUGCCUAGAUGAUUUUUAGUGCUUGCAUCUAAAUGAAAUCUAGAUAUCAAGCGAGCGGCGGACGGGUGAGUAAUCAUCGUGGGUAACCUACCCAAGAGACUGGGAUAACACCUGGAAACAGAUGCUAAUACCGGAUAACAACAUCUAGAUCGCAUGUCUAGAGUUUGAAAGAUGGUUCUGCUAUCACUCUUGGAUGGACCUGCGGUGCAUUAGCUAGUUGGUAAGGUAACGGCUUACCAAGGCAAUGAUGCAUAGCCGAGUUGAGAGACUGAUCGGCCACAUUGGGACUGAGACACGGCCCAAACUCCUACGGGAGGCAGCAGUAGGGAAUCUUCCACAAUGGACGAAAGUCUGAUGGAGCAACGCCGCGUGAGUGAAGAAGGGUUUCGGCUCGUAAAGCUCUGUUGGUAGUGAAGAAAGAUAGAGGUAGUMACUGGCCUUUAUUUGACGGUAAUUACUUAGAAAGUCACGGCUAACUACGUGCCAGCAGCCGCGGUAAUACGUAGGUGGCAAGCGUUGUCCGGAUUUAUUGGGCGUAAAGCGAGUGCAGGCGGUUCAAUAAGUCUGAUGUGAAAGCCUUCGGCUCAACCGGAGAAUUGCAUCAGAAACUGUUGAACUUGAGUGCAGAAGAGGAGAGUGGAACUCCAUGUGUAGCGGUGGAAUGCGUAGAUAUAUGGAAGAACACCAGUGGCGAAGGCGGCUCUCUGGUCUGCAACUGACGCUGAGGCUCGAAAGCAUGGGUAGCGAACAGGAUUAGAUACCCUGGUAGUCCAUGCCGUAAACGAUGAGUGCUAAGUGUUGGGAGGUUUCCGCCUCUCAGUGCUGCAGCU